rfam:Gossypium hirsutum cultivar TM-1 chromosome 19, whole genome shotgun sequence
GACUAAAAAUUUUAUCCACUUUUAUUGUUAAAAAUUGCUAUGGCUGACAAAAUAACCAAACAAUCACGUAUGGUGUGCCACAAACAUCUCAUGCUGAUGUACGAGGACCACUUUUGAAUAGUAGCUUUGGAUGAAAUUUUUAAAA